rnacentral:lncRNA from 1 species
GCCUACGCCAGAGCCACAGCAACGCGGGAUCCGAGCCGCAUCUGCAACCUACACCACAGCUCACGGCAACGCCGGAUCGUCAACCCACUGAGCAAGGGCAGGGACCGAACCCGCAACCUCAUGGUUCCUAGUCGGAUUCGUUAACCACUGUGCCACGACGGGAACUCCAGUACAGUGUUAUUAAUUCGAGUCACCAUGCUGUACAUUUCAUCCCCAGAAUGUAGGUAUUUUGUAAUUGGAAAUUUGUACUUUUUGAUCCAUUUCACCCACCCACUACCCCUGCCCCCCCCCCAACGGAGCGGGGGGCCACCAGUCUGUUCUCUGUGUCUGUGAGCUUGGUAUUUUUGUUUGUUUUUUUAGGUUCCAAAUAUAGUGAGAUCCUAUGGUGCGUGCCUUUCUCCAUCUGAUUUCUUUCACUUGGCAUAACGCCCUCAAGGUCCGUCCAUGUUGUUGCAAAUGGCAAGGUUUCUUUCUCGCUUUAUGGCUGAGUAAUACUCCAUUGCAUAUACACCACGUCUUCCUAUUCAUUUAUCCAUCAGUGGACACUUAGGGUCCUUCCAUGUCUUGGCUGUUAGAAAUAAUGCUGUGAACACAGGAUACAAUAAAUUGGAUGUUUUGUAUGUGUUGGGCAGCCUCUGGUGACUUUUAACCCACCUAUCUUCUUGUUCAGGCUUUAUUUGAAUUUGAUAACAUUGGUGAGAUAUGUCUUUUGUUCUUAGCAGAAUGAGAACUAGGGCAUAUACAGUAUUUUUUUACUAAUGAAGAACUGGACACGCGUUCAGAAACUGAGUGUUCACAAUUGUUCGUUGUCUUCUCAUUUUUCACACUUUUAACCAGUGUACUACAAUGAGAAAUGAAGCUUAUGUUGAAAUUGACACACAUACUUAGCGUGUACUGAUGAAGUAUUUGACCCUUCAUUCCCUUGUUUAAUCAAGUUAUCACACAGCUUUGAUGAAAUUAACUGAUGUUUACAGUCAGUUUCAAAAACUGUAUAGCCUAUAAACUGCGUUGGGAGUGCAGGGAGAUGGAGCCACAUAGAUGUUAUUUUAAAAGUCAUGGCAAUGUCAAGAUGUAGGCUUUUCUCUUGUGGCUGAGUCCAUUUUGACUUAGGGAAAGCUGGAGUUUUAAGGUGUGUAGAACAAUCCCAUUCCACCGUGCUGCCCCCUGGUGGUGAUCUGGUGCAUAGCUCUCUCAGACUCUGGAGAUGAGCAUUCUUUGGUCCUGCAGCUAAUUCUUGGUUUGGGAUUUGGAGGCUUUCUUCCUCCCUCCUUCCCUUCUUCCCUCCCCCACUUCCUUCCUUCCUUCCUUUUUAACUUCUAAGUAACACUGUUUUUAUAUUCCCCUCUAGUAGUCACAGGGGAACACUUUUAUAGCUAGGAAGUUUCUAGAAACUUGAAAAGCAUUAAUUUUCCCCCUAUAACCAUGUUAAUAUAUGGAAGAAUUUUUAAUUCUUCACUUAAAUUAUAGAAUUCCAUUUGCUCAAUUAAAUCCUAAUGCCCACUGCUAAGGAGAUGUGUCUGAUUUUGGCCUCAGUGUCAACAGAAUUACACAAUAUCUUUACACAGACAUUAGUAGCCAAAGGUACUACUAGGUAGAACUAGUAGUUAAUACUGGUAGAACUAGUCAGUUCCCUUAGUAACAUUGGAUUGUGACAGCCCACGUGGGUUUGUUUUUGUUUCUUUCAGUUAAAAACAACAUGUGACGAUGUAGUGUAUUUCUUGUAUCUGUAUUUACAUAGUAUCUUAUCAUCACAGGUAACAUCUAGGUCACGGAAUAAUACUCCUUGAAACUAUUUUUCCCAAGUUUAUCUAUUUCCUCUCUUUUAUCUAAGCCCCAAGUAGUGACCAAUUUUGUUUGUCGUUAUGAUGGGAUAGGUCCUAAACUGAAUCGUUACCCCACUGCCUUCAACCCUCCCAAAGCCGAAAAGGAUGUGACUUGGCAUCCAUCUAAAGUGGUUCCAGGGAAGGCUCUUAAAACAGUGGAAGGGAUGUAGAGAUGUCAUAGUGAAGAGGUGAAAAGAGAAAACCAGCGAAGAGGGGGGUGGAGAAUGACACAGGGAAUCCAGCUGUUGGAAAUAAGAAACCUCAAAACACAAACCUAAAGGAGAAGGCAAGUAGGCUCCUUUACCUCGGGGUGGCUUCUAGUGGAGCAUAUUUGUGGAAGUACUGAGGCUAGACUAUUUCAGGCACCAGAGAAGAAGGAGGGGAGAAAGGAAUAAAUUCAGAAUCUGACCCGUGUUACAUGUUUGUUUCAGUAUUCAUUAAACGAAAGGAAGCUGCUGGAAGUAAAAACAGAAAUGGUGUCAUUGGUAAGAAAUGAGACGGACUUUUCUUGUUCAUUUUGUUCAUCUUUGCUUUAUCCCGUGCAUGGCUACUGUUGUUUGUCGUGAUGGUCGUGGGAAGAUCUAUGCAAGUGUCAUAGGAUUUUUUACAUCGUGGUAAAAUACCCGUAAAAAUCGCCACCCUAACUGCUUUUAAGUGUUCGGUUCCGUGGCAUUAAAUACAUUCACAUUAUUAUGCAACCGGUGCCCCCACCUAGCCGCAGAACUCUUUUCAUCUUGCAGAACUGAAACUCUCCCCACUCAGCGCUAACCCCUCGUUUCUUCCUCACCUGGCUACUGCCACCAUUCUGUUUUCUGUCUCUUUGAAUUUGACUGUCCUUGGUCCCUCCUGUGAGUGGAAUCCUACCUGCUUUGUCCUUUUGUGACUUAUUUCACUUAGCACAGUAUUCUCAAGGUUCAUUCAUGUUGUAGCCUAUGUCAGCAUUUCCUUCCUGUUUAAGCCUAAAUAACAUCCCAUUGGGUGGACACGUUACAUUUUUUAAUUAUCCCACACCUUGUGGCCAUUGUGAAUAAUCCCGUGAACAGGGACAUACAGGUAGCUGUUGGAGUCCCUGUGUUCAAUUCUUUUUGGGUGUCUAUACCCAGAAGUGGUAUAUUGUAGGCUUUUUGUGUACUCAACAAAUUUAGAUCCCAGUGUUUGAAGAAUAAGAAGGAAUGGAGUUUUUUUGUAUUUUUUAAAACUAUAUUUUUAACCAAUGGCACGCAUUAUUUCUCUUCCAUCCUGUCUUACCUGGGACCUCAGAAACCUACCAAGACUGCCAUGAGAGAGUACGGAACUAUUCCUCUGAAAUUUUUUACUCAUCCAGGCAUUUAUUUCCUUAUUCAUAACCUGAGUUGUUUGCCACAGGGAACUGCUUACUUGCCCCAGGAUUUUCAGUGAAGUAUUUGCAGUGCUUUUAUGCAUUAAUGAAAUACUACAAACCCUUAUAACAUCAGCCAAACUCACCACCCUUUGAGAAUUAAUCAUGUAUCUGGUUUAACUGUAAUGUCUUUAGGAAAGAACUAUAAAAGAAGAAAACUUUUUUAAAAUGUGAAUAGAAAUAGCAUCAAGGCAAGCACUGUUGCUUUUGGAUUAUGUAAGAUUCUGUUCAUUUAAAAAAAAAUUUUUUUUUUUUUUUACUUCCUGCUAAGAGGGAUGCAGAAGGAUGAGGCAUGUUCAUUGCCAUGGAGAACAAACCAGCUUCGUAAUUGUAACCUUAUUGGCACCUGUCACUUACAAGAGUUCUGUUCCUUGGUGAUCACACUUGAUUCUCUAAGCAGCCUGUGUAAGGCAGGGCCCAUGGUACCUUUUUCCGUAUUUCAAACAGAGGGAAACUGGCCUAGAGAUAUUUAAGGUCCUGGUCAACACAACAAAGCAUGAGGCUAGUGAGAGUGCAGGCAGAAGCCCUGGACUGACCCCAGCUGACCUGUGACCAUACCCUGUUGGGAACGGACCCUAGGACCCCCUGCAGAAGGGACGUGUCCAGAGUGGUUUAAUGCUGUGAAUCUCAAACAAAUAAGUAAGUAAAUAAAUAAAUAAAAAGGAGUUCCUGUCAUGGCUCAGCGGAAACAAAUCUGACUAGCAUCCAUGAGGAUGCAGGUUCGAUCUCUGGCCUCACUCAGUGGGUUAAGGAUCCAGCGUUGCCGUGAGCUGUGCUGCAGGUCACAGCUCGGAUCCUGCAUUGCCGUGGCUGUGUUAUAGGCCAGCAGCCGCAGCUCUGUUUGGACCCCUAGCCUGGGACCCUCCAUAUGCCGGGGGUGUGACCCUAAAAAGAAAAACAAGAUUAAUAAAUAAAAAUGCUGUGAUCUCUUUGCUUUUAAAAGCACGCCCAGCAAGAUCGGGCCAUCACACAGACGGACAGGAAGAUAGACACCGAGGUCGCUGGCCUCAAAACCAUGCUCGAGUCGCACAAGCUCGACAAUAUAAAAUAUUUAGCAGGAUCCGUGUUUACGUGCCUAACGGUAGCUCUGGGAUUUUACCGCCUGUGGAUAUAAUAAAGUGUCUAUUUAAAGAGCAUUCUUUUGUUUUGCCUUAAGAAGACCAGAUUGAUGUGCCUUUUUUUUUUUUCUCAUUUCAAUUUUUUUUUUUUUUUUUUUUGUCUUUUUUGUCUUGUUAGGGCUGCACCUGCGGCGUAUGGAAGCUCCCAGGCUAGGGGUUGAAUCAGAUCUGUAGCUGCCGGCCUAUACCGCAGCCACAGGAAUGCCAGAUCCGAGCCGCAUCUGAGACCUACACCGCAGCUCAUGGCAAUACUGGGUCCUUAAUCCACUGGUGAAGGCCAGGGAUCGAACCCUCGUCCUCAUGGAUACUAGUCAGGUUUGUUACUGCUGCGCCACCCUGGGAAUUCCUUGUUUCAAAUUUUAAUGCUGAUUUUUAAUACAUAUUAUUUAUUUUUAUGUAUAUUAUGGACAUAUAACCAGGGCAAAGAAGCGAGAAGUCUAUACCUGCUCCUUUCAUCUUUUCUGUUUAGUUGACUUUAUAGCCCUGCCUGGUGGCGGACAAAGCAAGGAAGACUCCACUGAGCUGGAGCAGUGAACUUGGUCUAACCUGUGGGAUAUACCAGCAGUAAAUAUUUAUGUAACUCUCCGCAAUUCCAAUACUGUCUCCGAGGAUUCGGGGUCUCCAUUAGCUUUACUAAGUACUGAAGAAUCGUUGAAACUAAACCAAAAGCAUCAAGUCUUCCUUUCCUGUUGACCCAGUCCCUGUGUUAGCAGUUGUGUUUCAGGUCCAACUGUUGUUACCCGCAUGCUACAGCUGUACUUUACACCCAAAGGAGGUUUUUUCCUUUCAUUUUCUGCUUCGUUAAGUUACUAUUCUGUUUAUAUUGUGUGUGCCUUCCAGCUAGAAAACCUUGUCGCCUAAUGAAGUAUUGUGAUUAUGGGGGGAGGGGCUAGACUUCUCUCCCUGUUCCCUCUGACUUGGUCCUUCUGCCUCCCUCUUGAGUUGAGAGCUGUCCUGACACCCGAGGUGUGGCAUUGCCUCCCUAGAGAAUGUGCUCAUUCUGGGCGUGGAGGCUUUUCAGUCUGCCAGGCAGGAUCUUCUUCCUUCUGGUCCUCAUCAGCGUUUUAUCAAGGGAAGCACGAGGCUUUCCCUCUUUAGUGAUAUCUAGUUAUUUAGUGAGGGUGCACAUUUUUCAAGAAUGUCUUUAAUGAAUAUGCCUUUGCCUAUUACAAGCUCAGGUCGUAGGCGCUGCAGACUAGAGAACGGUCAUCAUGCCACGUAUUCUGAUCUAGGUUGAUUUCUUUGGUUGUUAAAGAUACUCUCAUGCUGACUUCACCUCUGUCUUUAACGCAAAUACAUUCCUAGCUACAACUAGGGGUAUUGGGCGAGGCACAGUCUCCUCUUACUUGAGUGAGCUGCACGUAGAGACAUCAGCAGUGACAUCAGAUGGCCCCUUCUUGUUUCCCCACGUGAACACUGUGCAGGCGAUGUGGUCCAGUGGGGAGGCCGCAGAGAGACGUCUUGAUCGGCUGGUAGAAUAUAGUCCCCGUCCUCAGGGUUCGGUCCACUUUGGCAAAAAAGUUACCUCCUGUCCUUUGGAUGUCAUCUCUGCACUCUGUAAAGUGUAGUCGUUGCCGUGUCUGAGGAUGUUCUGUGCCCCAGCACGUUGGCAUUAACAGUACCAGUUUUGAAGUGAGUAGUCUCCUUUCAGCCAGAUCCAAAAGUAUCUUAACUGCCUCAUGUUUUAUCCACAUGUGCAUUCCCCUUUCAGAGAAGGAUCCCCAGAAAACACCGUACAUUUAACAGUCGCCCUAAGUAGUAAAGAGUUAAGUCAAUGACAGCCCAUUAAGACCACCUUUGCAACCCAACUUUGUCUUAGUAGGAGCUUGGAGGCGAGCCAGAGCGCAGACACUCCUCUAAGUUGGAGUCCCCGAGAGGAAAAAGUACUGUGUGCAGUUCUGUUUCAAACCAAACACUAACCGUGAGAGGUUAAAUGCAGCGAAGUGACCUUAUGUCCUGAGAAAGUAUGUUUGAAAUAGCCUGCGGUUGGGUGACCGUCUGGCAUCUGCCAGAAGUAUUCCAAAUGACAUUCCUACUGGUGAUGGUGGGCUAUGUCAGGCUGUCCCUUAACUGGGGCCGCUGAUUUUGCUGUGGGCCUCUCCGCCGUACAGAACAGCCCCUGCCUCCCCUGUCCUGGGCACAGAUGGACCCUGCUUUCGGUGGUGGGGAUUGCACGUACGAGGCUAGGAGAGCUCAGGACCCCGUUCUCUUUAUUUGGGCAAAUGUAUUCUAUUGGAAAAGCGUAGGAGCCAUAAAUACAAGGGUACCCUUCCCAGUGCUGGCCCAGACGUCUCUGAGCAGUGUGACGACUCCCUGAGCUUGUCUUGGCCUGGAGGGGUGCAGGUCACUUUGGGGAGCUGUGCUCGGGCACAGAUGCUGUGUGUCUAGCACUUGGGGAAAAUCAGCCGGAGCAAAGGCCUGAAGAUCGCUCUCCCCUAAAGCGGAACUGUCAGCUGGACAGGACCUGUAUUUCCUGUUCGUGCACGAAUCCCUCAGCUCUUAGAGGCUUCUUCUGCCCUCCUGCCUUCUCGCCCCUCCCCUGCUCUUUAUCUCUUUUAAAGAACUUCGACUCCAGCUCCUUUCCUGCUUCCUCCGUAAGCAAAGCAUGUUUGUGUGUUCGAUUCUUUACAGGAAAUGUGACUGGAUGCCUGUGCUGCUCUCAGUCCUUAGCUGGUUUUCUAGUUCAGUGUCCAGCACAACUCAAUCAGAAUGUAUUCACCGUUUCCCUUAAGUAUGCCAGGUACCUCAGGUGAGAGGUCACAAGUUCAGGAAGAAAGGCUUGACUCAAACCAGCCAUCUUGCUGGACGUCGAAGUCUUUCAAAACCAAACUCCUGAGCCACAGGGGCCUGGUUCCUCCCGCGUCGUGCCCAGCUCGGCUGUGCUUUUCCGUCUGUGCCACUUGGAACAGGGAGCUCUUGCCUCUGUUCCUGUCUCCUUUCUAGCCUCUCCUGCGAAUCAGCUGUGUCAGCGUUGGCAGGCGCCUCUCUUCCUCCACCCCGACAUGCCGUGUUCUAAGAAUUUUGGCAUCACUUCUGAGCAAAUGUCGUAUGGAUAGCACUGUGGAACUCAUGUCUAGAAAACUGGCUUUUAACGACGUUUAUCAAAUUGUGUUGUGACUUUUCUGACAUUAAAGCAAAAACUUGUCAAUCGGUAAUAAUGACUUUUUAAAUAAAAUGUUCGAGACUGUUUUAGCCUUUUAUUGGCAUUUCAUUUGGAAAAUAUCAGUCUUUCUACAGAUUUGUAUCUUAUGUUCCUCUGAUAACCCAAAUCAUUUCUUAGCCCUUUCGUUUCAUUGCACUGUUAAUAUUCAAUUAUAUUUUACUAUAUGGUAGAGUGGGCAUAUUUUAUGAUCUAAAAUAAAAUAUUUAACUUUCUUUCUGUGACUGAUAUCCUUUUCUGCUUGUUCAGAUUGAAUUUGAAAAGCCAGAACAACUUCUGCCUACACUAUAUUUCAACUGUUAUUCCCUCCAAUUGUACAUGGUAACACUGGUGUGUUAUUUUAAAAAUCAAAUACCUAAACAUUUGGAUCUGAAAGUGAUUAUUUGAUUUACAAAAUAAAUUUUUACUAUUCAGAAGAA